UCCUUUCUUCUCCUUCCCUUCCUUUUCCUUCUUCUUCUUUUCCUUCUUCUUCUUUUUUUUCUUCUCCUUUCUCCUUCUUCUUCUUCUUCUUCUUCUUUCUCCUUCUUCUUCUUCUCCUUCUUCUUUCUUCUCCUUCCCUUCCUUUUCCUUCUUCUUCUUCUUCUUUUUCUUCUUCUCCUUCCCUUCCUUUUCCUUCUUCUUCU
rnacentral:lncRNA from 1 species